CAGGGGGGGCAAGCGUUGUUCGGAAUUACUGGGCGUAAAGGGCUCGUAGGCGGCCAACUAAGUCACACGUGAAAUCCCCAGGCUUAACCUGGGAACUGCGUGUGAUACUGGAUGGCUUGAAUUCGGGAGAGGGAUGCAGAAUUCCAGGUGUAGCGGUGAAAUGCGUAGAUAUCUGGAGGAAUACCGGUGGCGAAGGCGGCAUCCUGGACCGACAUUGACGCUGAGGAGCGAAAGCUAGGGGAGCAAACGGGAUUAGAUACCCCGGUAGUCCUAGCCCUAAACGAUGAAUGCUUGGUGUGGCGGGUAUCGAUCCCUGCCGUGCCGAAGCUAACGCACUAAGCAUUCCGCCUGGGGAGUACGGUCGCAAGGCUG
rnacentral:rRNA from 1 species